rnacentral:rRNA from 1 species
CCUACGGGUGGCAGCAGUGAGGAAUAUUGGUCAAUGGACGAGAGUCUGAACCAGCCAAGUAGCGUGAAGGAUGACUGCCCUAUGGGUUGUAAACUUCUUUUAUAUGGGAAUAAAAUGUUCCACGUGUGGGAUUUUGUAUGUACCAUAUGAAUAAGGAUCGGCUAACUCCGUGCCAGCAGCCGCGGUAAUACGGUGGAUCCGAGCGUUAUCCGGAUUUAUUGGGUUUAAAGGGAGCGUAGGUGGAUUGUUAAGUCAGUUGUGAAAGUUUGCGGCUCAACCGUAAAAUUGCAGUUGAAACUGGCAGUCUUGAGUACAGUAGAGGUGGGCGGAAUUCGUGGUGUAGCGGUGAAAUGCUUAGAUAUCACGAAGAACUCCGAUUGCGAAGGCAGUUCACUGGACUGCAACUGACACUGAGGCUCGAAAGUGUGGGUAUCAAACAGGAUUAGAUACCCGAGUAGUC